rnacentral:rRNA from 1 species
AUUGAACGCUGGCGGCAGGCCUAACACAUGCAAGUCGAACGAGUCGCGGACGGGUGAGUAAUGUCUGGGAAACUGCCUGAUGGAGGGGGAUCACUACUGGAAACGGUAGCUAAUUACGCCUAUCAUCACAUGUGCCCAGAUGGGAUUAGCUUGUUGGUUGGGUAAUGGCUCACCAAGGCGACGAACCGUAACUGGUCUGAGAGGAUGACCAGCCACACUGGAACUGAGACACGGUCCAGACGCCUACGGGAGGCAGCAGUGGGGAAUAUUGCACAAUGGGCGCAAGCCUGAUACAGCCAUGCCGCGUGUGUGAAGAAGGCCUUCGGGUUGUAAAGUACUUUCAGCUGGGAGGCGUUACCCGCAGAAGAAGCACCGGCUAACUCCGUGCCAGCAGCCGCGGUAAUUC